CAAAAAGGCACAAGUCAAACAAUUAUGUUUAUUUAGAACACUAUAUAUUUAGACUUCAUAGCAAUACCAUUUAGCAAGUAAUUAGAUCAAAUAUAAAUUUUCAAAAGAUACUUUGCUAGUAUUGAAAACUAUACACAAUUGACUUAGCUUUUUUUCUCAAGGACCAAAGAUUUACAUAAUAAUUAUAACUAUAUUUGUCGGUAUCCAUAUGGUAGGUAUUUUUAUUAUUUUUCGUACCUAACCUGAAAAAUAUG